rnacentral:rRNA from 1 species
GGGGGAUAAAUUAAUUAAAUAUAAAUAAUAAAAAAAAUUUUAAUAUUAAUAAUAUAUGGGGUUAAAGUAUUUUUAAUAGAAAAAAUUUUUAUUUUUAUAGUAAAUUUAUACUGUAAGGGAGUUUUAAAAUAAAUGAAAAAAAAAAUUAUUAAAAAGUAAAUUUGAAUUAUUGUAUCUUGUGUAUCAGAGUUUAUUAAUAAAAAUAUUAAAUAAUUAAUUCUCGAAUUUAAAAGAGCUAAUUAAUUAAUAAAUUUAAUGUUGAAAAAUUAUUUUAAAUAAUUAAUUAGAAAUGAAAUGUUAAUCGUUUUUAAAAAUAUCUAGUUUUUUCAGAAAAAAAUUUAAUUUAAAAUAAAAAUAAUUUUAUUAAUUAAUUUAAUAAUUAUAAAAAUUUUUAUUUUAAUAUUUUAGGGGAUAAGCUUUAAAAUAAAUUUUUAUAAUUUAUUAAUAUAUUAAAUUAAAAUUUAUAAAAUUUAUAUUGUUUAUAAAUUAUAAUUUUUUAUAAAAAAUUUUAUUUUAAAUAAAAUUUUAUAUAAAUUUAAAUUUUUAUGAAAAAAUAAUUUUUAAUAAUAAAAAUUUAGAUAUAAUGAUAAAAUUAGUAUAUGAUAUAAAAUAAAAAAAAUUAAUAAGAUAAUAAUUAAAUUAAAGGAAUUCGGCAAAUAUAUAUAUUCACUUGUUUACCAAAAACAUGUCUUUUUGAUAAUAAUUUAAAGUCUAAUCUGCCCACUGAUAAUAAAAUUAAAGGGCUGCAGUAUAUUGACUGUACAAAGGUAGCAUAAUCAUUAGUCUUUUAAUUGAAGACUUGUAUGAAAGAUUUGAUGAAAUAUAAACUGUCUCUAAUUUAUUUAUAAAAUUUAAUUUUUUAGUUAAAAAGCUAAAAUAAAAUUAAAAGACGAGAAGACCCUAUAGAGUUUUAUAUAUUGAUUAAUUAAGAUUAAUUAUAAAAUUAUAUAUUUAAAUUAAUUAAUAUAUUAUGUUGGGGUGAUAAAAAAAUUAAAAUAACUUUUUUUUAAAAAAAAACAUAAAUAAAUGAUUAAUUGAUCCAUUAAUAAUGAUUAUAAGAGAAAAUUACCUUAGGGAUAACAGCGUAAUAUUUUUUUUUAGUACAAAUAAAAAAGAAAGUUUGCGACCUCGAUGUUGGAUUAAGAUAAAAUUUAAAUGCAAAAGUUUAAAAUUUUUGAUCUGUUCGAUCAUUAAAAUCUUACAUGAUCUGAGUUCAAACCGGUGUAAGCCAGGUUGGUUUCUAUCUUUAAUUAAUAAGUAAUAUUUUAGUACGAAAGGAUCAAAUAUUAAAAAUAAUUUUUAAAAUUGAAUAUUAAUAAAUUAAUUAA